UACGUAGGUGGCGAGCGUUAUCCGGAUUUACUGGGUGUAAAGGGAGCGUAGACGGCGUCGCAAGUCUGAAGUGAAAGCCCGUGGCUCAACCGCGGAACCGCUUUGGAAACUGCGAGGCUGGAGUGCUGGAGAGGUAAGCGGAAUUCCUGGUGUAGCGGUGAAAUGCGUAGAUAUCAGGAGGAACACCGGUGGCGAAGGCGGCUUACUGGACAGUGACUGACGUUGAGGCUCGAAAGCGUGGGGAGCGAACAGG
rnacentral:rRNA from 1 species